rnacentral:rRNA from 1 species
GUCGAGGGGCAGCAUGGUCUUAGCUUGCUAAGACUGAUGGCGACCGGCGCACGGGUGCGUAACGCGUAUGCAACUUGCCUCACAGAGGGGGAUAACCCGUCGAAAGACGGACUAAUACCGCGUACACUUGUGGUAGGGCAUCCUACUACAAGGAAAUGAAUUUCGCUGUGAGAUAGGCAUGCGUCCCAUUAGCUAGUUGGUGAGGUAACGGCUCACCAAGGCGACGAUGGGUAGGGGAACUGAGAGGUUGAACCCCCACACUGGUACUGAGACACGGACCAGACUCCUACGGGAGGCAGCAGUGAGGAAUAUUGGUCAAUGGGCGAGAGCCUGAACCAGCCAAGUCGCGUGAAGGAUGACUGUCUUAUGGAUUGUAAACUUCUUUUAUGUGGGAAUAACAAGAGCCACGUGUGGCUCCCUGCAUGUACCACAUGAAUAAGCAUCGGCUAACUCCGUGCCAGCAGCCGCGGUAAUACGGAGGAUGCGAGCGUUAUCCGGAUUUAUUGGGUUUAAAGGGUGCGUAGGCGGCCUGUUAAGUCAGCGGUGAAAUCUAGGAGCUUAACUCCUAAAUUGCCAUUGAAACUGGCGGGCUUGAGUGUAGAUGAGGUAGGCGGAAUGCGUGGUGUAGCGGUGGAAUGCAUAGAUAUCACGCAGAACUCCGAUUGCGAAGGCAGCUUACUAAGGUACAACUGACGCUGAAGCACGAAAGCGUGGGUAUCAAACAGGAUUAGAUACCCUGGUAGUCCACGCAGUAAACGAUGAUAACUGGGCGUAUGCGAUAUACAGUAUGCUCCUAAGCGAAAGCGUUAAGUUAUCCACCUGGGGAGUACGCCGGCAACGGUGAAACUCAAAGGAAUUGACGGGGGCC